AUGUGUGUAAAAUGUUUGCAGUCUAGGCCUUGUAUCACUGUAACAUUGCCGAUUAGAAUGGCAGCUGUGAAUCGCUGUAACAUUCCGUGUUUUUAUUUACCUUUUUUAUGGCCAGAAUUGAUGUCCUCAUAUGCAUCAGCAUUGCUAUUUUUUAUUUUUUACCUGGAUGUUGGUGCUGUUCUUCGUAAGAAUUUAGAUCGCUUCAUUUGCCCAGCAGUGGUACCUCCUAACCCGGGGCCAAACCGGCAACUUCGGAAACUUCUGUACUCUCUGAACCACCGGAAGUCAAGGUUAUGGCACGAUCGUUAA
rnacentral:rRNA from 1 species